rnacentral:rRNA from 1 species
UUAGAAAUAAUUAAAAGCUAAGCCUGCUCAAUGACAUAAAUAGCCGCAAAUCCAAUUGUGCUAAGGUAGCAUAAUCAAUUGCCUUUUAAAUAAAGGAUAGAAUGAAAGGCUACACGAAUUAUAAACUGUAUCUAAUUUUUAAAAUAAAACUGUAUAUUAAGUAAAAAUACUUAUAUUCAAAGAAAGACGAUAAGACCCUAUUGAACUUUACAUAAGUUUAGCUGGGGAAGCAAAAUAACAAAAUCUUAUUUAUUUCAAAAAAACAACCUUAAUGAAUAUGAACAAGUUACCAUAGGGAUAACAGCAUAAUAAAAUUUAAAAGUUCUUAUUUAAAAUUAAGUUUAUGACCUCGAUGUUGAAUUAAAUUCCUAAUAAAAGUAUAAAUUUUUAAAGGAAGACUGUUCGUCUUUUAAAAAUUUACAUGAUUUGAGUUCAGACCGGUGUAAACCAGGUCGGUUUCUAUCUUCUUUAAUUUAUUUUUAGUACGAAAGGACCCAAACAAAUUUUUUCUUAAUAGCAAAUAAUUGCAUUAGAAUUAGAAUCUAAAUAUCAAUCAUUAUCUUAUUAAUUAAUUCUUUAAUCAUUGUAAUUUCUAUUCUUAUUAGAGUAGCAUUUUACACUUUAUUAGAACGAAAAAUUUUAAGAUACAUUCAAAUUCGAAAAGGUCCAAAUAAAGUAAGAAUAAUAGGAAUUCUUCAACCUUUUAGAGACGCUAUUAAACUAUUUUCGAAAUCUUUCGCCUUCCCAAUCACUUCAAACUACAAAUUAGCUCUGUUAUCCCCCUCAAUAACAUUUUUCUUAGCACUUUUAAUAUGGCCUAUCCUUCCUCUUGCCAAUUUCAAUAUUUUAGACGCAAAUUUUAAUUCUUUAAUCUUUAUUAUUUUAUCAAGUUUCACAGUAUAUUUUAUUUUAAUAAUCGGU